GACGAACGCUGGCGGCGUGCUUAACACAUGCAAGUCGAACGGAAAGGCCCUGCUUUUGUGGGUUGCUCGAGUGGCGAACGGGUGAGUAACACGUGAGUAACCUGCCCUUGACUUUGGGAUAACUUCAGGAAACUGGGGAUAAUACCGGAUAGGAGCUCCUGCUGCAUGGUGGGGGUUGGAAAGUUUCGGCGGUUGGGGAUGGACUCGCGGCUUAUCAGAUUGUUGGUGGGGUAGUGGCUUACCAAGGCUUUGACGGGUAGCCGGCCUGAGAGGGUGACCGGCCACAUGUGGACUGAGAUACGUCCCAGACUCCUACGGGAGGCAGCAGUGGGGAAUAGUGCACGAUUGGCGGAAGCCUGAUGCAGCAACGCCGCUUGCGGGAUGACGGCCUUCGGGUUGUAAACCGCUUUCGCCUGUGACGAAGCGUGAGUGACGGUAAUGGGUAAAGAAGCACCGGCUAACUACGUG
rnacentral:rRNA from 1 species